rnacentral:rRNA from 1 species
UUGACCUCGAUCAGGGU